UACAGAGGGUGCAAACGUUGUUCGGAAUCACUGGGCAUAAAGGGUGCGUAGGUGGGUCUGUAAGUCAGUGGUGAAAUCUCCGAGCUUAACUCGGAAACUGCCAUUGAUACUAUAGGUCUUGAAUUAUCUGGAGGUGAGCGGAAUAUGUCAUGUAGCGGUGAAAUGCUUAGAUAUGACAUAGAACACCAAUUGCGAAGGCAGCUCACUACGGAUAUAUUGACACUGAGGCACGAAAGCGUGGGGAUCAAACAGG
rnacentral:rRNA from 1 species